UCAAAUCCAAAAACCCUCAUCCUGAUAAAUUCCAGUUUGAUCUUAACAGAACCAUUUUUCCAACCACAUUUUUCAAUAGAAUUAAUCAUAAUUUGCAAAGCACCCAGGGUAAGAAUAUUAAGGUCAUCAAAUUCGAAAAUUAUCUAAUGAAGAUACAAACACGAGAACGAUUCGAAACUAUUUAAAUGACAAAAUGGAUCGCUUUACUUUUAGAAAAAGAGAUGUUAAUGUCAUAACUUCCAGUUAAGAUGACAAAGUGCCAAACCACUUCUGAAAUACAAAAACAGGGAGGAUAGAAAGACAGGGAUGAUUCGAGACGAACAAGAAAGCAAAAAUGUUUCGCUAUUACAUUUAAGAAAAAAUGUGUUGUGAUGUUAAUGACAUACUCAACACUAAAGUUGACAAGUGCCAAAUCACAUGUGACAGAUCUAGUGAGAAUAAACAGGUCAGUAUGAUUGUGAUGGUUAAACUUCAGAUUUUUGCUACUAUUCUUAAGCAAAAGGUAUUAAUGUAGUAACUACUUCUAAAGAUGACCAAAAAUCUAAACACUUUUGAAAACCAAAACAAGAAGGAUAUGAAGACCGGUUCGAUUCGAAACAAUCACGGUGCAAAAAGUGUUGCUGUCACUUUUUAAAAAAGAUAUAUUAAUGAAAUACACAUCACUGAAGUUGACGAUGUUCCAAAACAUGACAUCCUGCUUAUGACAGAGUCAAAACAAGGAAAAAGUAAGACCAGGAUGAUUCGAGAGGAUAAAGAGGCAAAAAUGUUGUUAUCGCUAUUAAAAGAGGUUAAAAUGUAUUUUUAAAGCGUUGGAAACCAGUCCGAAUAGCAAAUUUAUAAAUUUGUUAUCUAAACGUUUUUUCUCUAUUCCGAUACACUUUUUAAUCACAUGUUGCAACGUUAAACAGUUUCAAGAGCUAUUUACACAGUGGACAUUGUUUUAAAUAUAUUAUAAUGCCGUGCAAACUUUCAGAAAUCCUUCUUUUAAUUUUUAUUUUCAACGAGUACUGUUCCCAGUUUUGUGUGAAAAUGCUGAUAUAUUAUCAUUUGAAAAUAGACAAGACACAGUCAGUGCAAGAUGCCAUGAUUGCGUUCCAUUUGUACACUGCGUUUUUUUGUUUGUCUGUUGUUCUAGUGGACCUAAUCGCAAAUUCCAGGUUGGGCGAAUUCUGGACUAUAGCCGUUCUGAGUUUAGUAAGUGUGACAGGAUAUGUGGCUUUGUUCGCCGAAGAUAUAUUGAUUGACAGCGAUUACACGUGGUGGGUUUGUUUGCUGAUUGUGCUCGCAGUAACGACGGGAGGCAAUUUCACGUGUGUCAAGUUCAUGUGCUACUCCCAGUACAGCAUGCCAGAUGAAAAGGAUAGAUACAAAAGGAUGCUGUUCACGAUCGUAGUUUUCAGGUGCUUAGGAGAGCUGUACGGAAGUCUGUCGAUAUCCUUAUUUUCGGAUGUAUCGGAUCCUGGGAGUAAAUUGAAUAAGACGGUGUUCAUAGUCGUUCAUAAAGUCAUCGGCACGGUGUUUAUUCUCAGCGGUUACCCAGUAUACAGACGGAGAGAAAUCAAGAGAAAUUACCUGUACAACUUCGUUACCGCCUCUUUUCACGCCUUGAAGAGGAGGAGGCUCUCUCUGAAUAUGGACAAUGGAGAUGAUCAGGAUAGACGGAAAAAUGAAAUCAUAAACAAAAGCGAUUACGAAAAAAUCAAAAUGAUCUAUCACGUUCUGCCUUUGUACGCACCCAUUGUGGUCAUUUUGGCUUUUAAGGAACAGAAGUUUACCACGUUUGUCUACCAGACUGAAGCCAUGUCAAAAACCAUCGCUGAAGGUGUGACCAUACACCCUUUGACCAUACUGUCGUUCUUCCCGUUUUUUACUUUACUGGUAGUUUUAAUUUUUCACGGGAUAGCGAUACCUAUGGCCCUUAGGUAUGGUUACAACUUCGGGGCUUCUCAUGCAAGGACGUUGUUGGCUUUUUCCUGUUUGGCGAUUUCCUUCGCGGCGGCGUCUAUCGUCGAAAUCCAAAUUGAAGAAAACCGCCCGCCGAUGUCGAAAACCGGAAUCGGAAUUCUCCUUAUAUACAAUGCGUUACCGUGUCAAAUAAAUAUCGGGUUCGAAGGUGGCCUGGGCACGCUGAAUCCUGUAGAACCGUUCUCUUUUCAGCACAGCUUUCAACAGCACGUUCAAAACGAACUUUUGAGGGUGAUGACUGUGCGAUCGACCUGCUUUGAUGAAAAAAUACGAGAGUCUUUCAACAUAAAACUUUCGGAAUUUAAAAGUUAUACCUACUGCCUCUUCUACAACAGGACCGGAGUGGGUAAAAUUUACCAUGUUGAACUGACGCAGCCAAACACGAAUUUUGGUAUCGACGCCAAACCGUGGCUUAGGAUCAUAUAUCAAAUGGUGUGGCCUACAAAGUUCACACUAUCAGGCAGAUUAAAGCUUUCUUUCAAUCUUGACCCUUUUCACCAUGAAAUAGAGCCCAGAGCCAUUCAUGAUUUUUCUGAAAGGUACAAUCUGUUUCUCAAUGAGAGUUUGGUACUUUCCGAUCUGUAUUUUGCUUCUGGAACUUUUUACACAAUAUUGAUUGUCCAUUUGGAAAACGAAGGCAUGUUCACACAUGUUUUAACGACAUCUAGCCCCAAAGAGGAAAAUAUACUUUAUCUUAUUCCACAAAUAUUUUUCAUGUCCGUGAUGGAUGGUUUAGUUUUAGCACCUGGUUUUAUCUAUAAUAAAUCUAAGGUCCCGCUAAAGUGGACUGAGGUGAUGAUUACCUUGUGGUUCAUUUCCGGUUUUAUUGGAAAUUGUUUGAUAGCUGUUUUUAUAAAAUAUGUGUUCGGAACUAGACAGUUAUAUUCUUUAGUAGCGGCAGUCAUAAGUAUUUCUUUGAGCAUUUCAAUUUUGGUGGCGAUGACGAUGACAUAUUACAAAGAAAAUUAUCCUGAUAAAGUGAAAAAAAAUAGUGCUCAUCUUUAUCUGCAAGUUGGAGACUAGACUCUCAAAAGAAAACAAAAGUGGCUUCCAUUCUAAAGUUGUAACUGUAAAACCUUUUUGGGGAACCAUUUGGUUAUACAACUACUGCGACAGGUAAACUGUCUCCAGUGCCAGUUCUGCUCGUUGAAUCUAUAAAUUAUUUCAACGGAACGAAAGAAUGACCAAAUAGUCAUUUCAAAACCCAGCUUGACAAGGAUGACAAACUCCAAAAAGAAUAACUUAAUAAUUUUAAAAUUUAUACAACUUAAGAAUCUUCCCAUAUAGGCAAGAUUGAAUUUUUUUUAGCUGUGUACAUAGUGAAUUGAAUAGUAGUAUUACAAUUCAGAAAAUUUGUAUGUACUUCUUAACAUAAAUAUACUUUCAACAGUACAGUAAA